UAGGUAAUCUACCUUUUAGUGGGGAAUACCGUUCGAAAGGAACGUUAAUACCGCAUGUGGAUCCAUUCCGAUGGGAGUGUAUCUAAAGGGGGGUGUAGCAAUACAUCUCUCGCUAAUUGAUGAGCCUGCGUCCCAUUAGCUAGUUGGUGGGGUAAUGGCCUACCAAGGCUUCGAUGGGUAGCUGGUCUGAGAGGACGACCAGCCACUGGAACUGACACACGGUCCAGACUCCCGUAGGGAGG
rnacentral:rRNA from 1 species